rnacentral:rRNA from 1 species
CCCUUAGACGUUCUGGGCCGCACGCGCGCUACACUGGCGAAGGCAACGAGCUUUCCUUUACCGAAAGGUACGGGUAAUCUUUUGAAACUUCGUCGUGCUGGGGAUAGAUCCUUGCAAUUAUUGAUCUUAAACGAGGAAUUCCUAGUAAGCGCAAGUCAUCAACUUGCGUUGAUUACGUCCCUGCCCUUUGUACACACCGCCCGUCGCUACUACCGAUUGAAUGGUUUAGUGAGGCCUUCGGAUCCGCGACUCGUUUUGUGGAGAAGUUGGACAAACUCAGUCAUUUAGAGGAAGUAAAAGUCGUAACA